AAUUAUUUCUCAAAUAAUUGUUUAAACAAAUGGCUAUAAACAAUAGAUAGCCCGGGAUUUCGCAAAAAUGACUGCAAUAUUCGGUUUCAGCGGGUCAAAAUACAUAAAUAAUCAUAUUUUGUACACCGACCUCAAAAUUUUAC